AUUGAACGCUGGCGGCAGGCCUAACACAUGCAAGUCGAACGAGUGGCGGACGGGUGAGUAAUGUCUGGGAAACUGCCUGAUAGAGGGGGAUAACUACUGGAAACGGUAGCUAAUACCGCAUACCAUCGGAUGUGCCCCGAUGGGAUUAGCUUGUAGGUGGGGUAAAGGCUCACCUAGGCGACGAUCCCUAGCCGGUCUGAGAGGAUGAACAGGCACACUGGAACUGAGACACGGUCCAGACUCCUACGGGAGGCAGCAGUGGGGAAUAUUGCACAAUGGGAGCAAGCCUGAUGCAGCCAUGCCGCGUGUAUGAAGAAGGCCUUCGGGUUGUAAAGUACUUUCAGCGGGGAGGCGGGAAUCGAAGAAGAAGCACCGGCUAACUCCGUGCCAGCCGCCGCGGUAAUUG
rnacentral:rRNA from 1 species